AGUGAACGCUGGCGGUAGGCCUAACACAUGCAAGUCGAACGGCAGCACAGUAAGAGCUUGCUCUUACGGGUGGCGAGUGGCGGACGGGUGAGGAAUACAUCGGAAUCUACUUUUUCGUGGGGGAUAACGUAGGGAAACUUACGCUAAUACCGCAUACGACCUACGGGUGAAAGCAGGGGAUCUUCGGACCUUGCGCGAUUGAAUGAGCCGAUGUCGGAUUAGCUAGUUGGCGGGGUAAAGGCCCACCAAGGCGACGAUCCGUAGCUGGUCUGAGAGGAUGAUCCGCCACACUGGAACUGAGAACGGGGCCAGACCCCUAGGGGGGGCAGCAGGGGGGAAUUUUGGAAAAGGGGGGCAAGCCUGAUCCAGCCAUCCCGGGGGGGGAAAGAAGGCCUUCGGGUUGUAAAGCCCUUUUGUUGGGAAAAAAAAGCAGCAGGUUAAACCCCCGCUGUUCGGAAGGUACCAAAAAAAUAAGCACCGGCGAACUUCGG
rnacentral:rRNA from 1 species